GGAGGACUCAUUUUCACAUCACACACAGAUACACCUUUUCAUUUGCAACUCCGGUGCUUCUAAAAAUAACAUUUUAAGAUCGAAUGUCUGCCACCACUGCUAAUCUUAAAAAGAU